CCCAGACCUCAUUUAAGGGUUGGCAGUGGAGGCAAAGGUAUCUCACUGAAGUUCUCUGCUUACCUGAGGCUUUCCAAAGAAAAACUCAGAAGAAAGACUGAGAGCACCUUUCUGAUAACAGACACAGGAAGGUCACUAUGGGGGCCAGCAGGAAGCUUAUUCCUGCACAAGAGGCCCAAACAAAUCUGCUUCUGUAAUUUCAGUUGCUGUUUUCUUCAACGUGUCCUUUGUUAUUACUGCCAAUCCAAAUACGCGGAGUAUUUAGGAAGUAGAAGAUUACAUCCAGGGUGUAAACUGGACCAGAAUUGAGUCUGAGGCUGUGUCCUAACUGCAGACACUGAGAUGCCCUGGCAGAGAGUCUAAGCAAGGAGACUUUUCAGUAGCCAAGCCACAUGCCUUGUGGAGCUCCAACAGAAUUUCGUGCUUUAUUAAAAUAAAUGCUCAUGGAAGCUUAAGGAAGAGUGGGAGGUUUUGCUCCCCGACAGUACUCAGCAUUCCCAGUUGGUGCUCUGCAGUCUCCUUGUUCAACACUACACACUGUGUGGGAGGACCAGACUAUGUGAACCUGCUUGUUAAAAUCAGCUCUGAGUUCAGUUUGAAUGACAUUGUUUCUACCUCUGCCUUGGUAUUAAUAUUGAUCUAAUCAGCACCUGAUGACUGAUCUUCAGGUCUCUGGGGACACUGUACCUUGUGCAUGCUCUAAAUGUAGCAUGAAUAUGGAACCUCAUCCUCCCAGGAGAAGUAAUGGGACCUGAGCAGGAUUUCACCUCUCCCAGGAGCUGCUCAGCACUUCACAAGACUCCAUAGCAUUACAUGAGUUUGGUAGGAGUUAUGCUAAUGUCUGUGUUAACCCUUUAAGCAUAGUUAAUGCAAGUCAGUUAUUUCUCAGGAUUAAACAGAGUUAGCUGGAGCUGCUUUGCAAUGGGAGUUAGGAACACAAGGCGCUUUAGAAAAAUCCCACUAGGUAUCACCAUCUACAUCUCACAGUUCCCAAACACACUUAAAAAUCAGACCCUUAGGGGCACAGAUCUGAGUGAAAGCCAUACGUACAUGCUAGGUGAGAUAUAAAUUACCAAGGACUUAUUUCACAGAAGGCCCUAAAUUCUUGUUUUUCAUGGAAUAUUAUUCACUGGAAGGGAGAGAUCAGGAGAACAGUGAGUAGAUGAGUAACCAGGGGAUUCACCUCUAGGGCAAAGCUUA